rnacentral:rRNA from 1 species
CCUACGGGUGGCUGCAGUGAGGAAUAUUGGUCAAUGGGCGGCAGCCUGAACCCGCCAAGUCGCGUGAGGGAAUAAGUCCCUACGGGUCGUAAACCUCUUUUGCCGUGUAGCAAGGUCGGGGACGUGUCCCGGCCCGGAGAAUACCCGGAGAACAAGCCUCGGCUCACUCCGUGCCAGCAGCCGCGGUAAUACGGAGGAUGCAAGCGUUCUCCGAAGUUAUUUGGUUUAAAGGGUGCGUAGGCGGGCUUUUAAGUCAGCGGUAAAAAUUCGGGGCUCAACCCCGUCCGGCCGUUGAGACUGGGGGCCUUGAGUGGGCGAGAAGAAGGCGGAAUGCGUGGUGUAGCGGUGAAAGGCAUAGAUAUCACGCAGAACCCCGAUUGCGAAGGCAGCCUUCCGGCGCCCUACUGACGCUGAGGCACGAAAGUGCGGGGAUCGAACAGGAUUAGAUACCCCUGUAGUC